GACGAACGCUGGCGGCGUGCUUAACACAUGCAAGUCGAACGGUAAGGCCCUUCGGGGUACACGAGUGGCGAACGGGUGAGUAACACGUGGGUGAUCUGCCCUGCACUUCGGGAUAAGCCUGGGAAACUGGGUCUAAUACCGGAUAGGACCACUGCCUGCAUGGGUGGUGGUGGAAAGCUUUUGCGGUGUGGGAUGGGCCCGCGGCCUAUCAGCUUGUUGGUGGGGUGAUGGCCCACCACGGCGACGACGGGUGGCCGGCCUGAGAGGGUGACCGGCCACACUGGGACUGAGGUACGGCCCAGACUCCUACGGGGGGCAGCAGUGGGGAAUAUUGCACAAGGGGCGGAAGCCUGAUGCAGCGACGCCGCGUGAGGGAUGACGGCCUUCGGGUUGUAAACCUCUUUCAGCACCGACGAAGCGCAAGUGACGGUAGGUGCAGAAGAAGGACCGGCCAACUACGUGCCAGCCGCCGCCGUAA
rnacentral:rRNA from 1 species